GCCCCUUUCUAAGUCCGCAAUGCUGUUCGGCCCCGCCCCCUCCUCAACUAGCCUUCCUUCCAAAUUGUCGCAGUGUCUGGUGGUCCUAGCCCCUCCCCUACUCACAUCCACCCUAUCAAUUUCACAGAGCCUCCAGGUCCCGCCCUUUAUCCUAACACGCCCCCCUCCAAACGGUAAAACCCAAAUUGGGUUUGGCUCCUUCCCUGUAACACCCCCUCCUCAACUCAGGACUAAACUAUUGAUUCCAUCUUGGGCCCAGCUAAACGGGGUCCAGUCCCCUCCCUUCCUAACUGGAUGGAUUCGAGAGUGUGGAUGGUGACCCUUUCACUGAGACACGGAAGAAUGGAUUUAAGAGGAAAUGAAUGUUGAUUUUGAGGCACCUGUGGUACAUCCAAGUGGAAAUGCUGUAUUGGCAAUUGAAUAAGCACAUCGGAAACUCAAGAAAAAGGCCUAAUCAUAGAACAUCUCAUUUUUAGGAUACAUAAGCUCUGCCCUGGAUAAAGGCCGAGAAGACUACAGUUAUCCUUUAGGACACCAUCACAGUAAAUGAAAAGAACCUGAUUCCUGACAACUUGGUGGAAUGGACUGCCUACCUCUGGCUUUCUUUUAAUGAGAUGAAUAAGUGUAUGUCUCGGUUAGCCGUUGUUAUUUCGGAGUCUCUGCCAUGCAGCAGUUUCCUGGUGGUUCUCAAUAUCAUACGUUGUAUUCGUGACAUUUCCAACAUUUAGAGUCCCACAUUGUUUCACUCGUGGUCUCAGGAGGAACAGAAUUAGAACCUUGAAUAUUAUCGAAUUCAGUGAAGGAAGCUAAAUCUCAGUCCAAGUUCAUCAGAAAGAAGCCUCCUGAAAACAAACCUGUGAGAAAGAAUUGGGCCACUGAAAAGAAAAUGGGGACCAACUGUCUACCAGGCACCUUUGUGCUGAAAGCUUGAGACUCCGUGGACUGAUUUGAAUUGGUGGAAUCUUUCAGAGAUGGGGCCAGGGAAGAGCGACGAGGUCCCUGGGCUAAUCUUUGUUGAGAGAGAUUGAUGUCAUUCUCUUGGGACUCAGGUACUGGAUGCUGUUCUGGGAGCUGAAGACAUAACAGUGGAGAAGAUGGAGAGCAAUGCCUGUUCCUCGUGGAGCUGAUUCUAGUAAGGGGAAGAGAGGAAACAAUCGGCUCAAGAAAUAAGAUCUG